rnacentral:rRNA from 1 species
UACGAGGGGGGCUAGCGUUGUUCGGAAUCACUGGGCGUAAAGCGCACGCAGGCGGAUUGAUAAGUCAGGGGUGAAAUCCCGGAGCUCAACUUCGGAAUUGCCUUUGAUACUGUCAAUCUCGAGUCCGGGAGAGGUGAGUGGAAUUCCUAGUGUAGAGGUGAAAUUCGUAGAUAUUAGGAAGAACACCAGUGGCGAAGGCGGCUCACUGGCCCGGUACUGACGCUCAUGUGCGAAAGCGUGGGGAGCAAACAGG